UUUCCCCUCUCCUGGCGGGAGAGAAAUGUAUCUCUUCUCUCAGGAUCCCCUUUGCACUUUGCUGGUAAACCUCUUCCCUUUCCAUCGAACAUAAAGAGUCCUGAAACUUGAUUCUCAGAUUUAAAAAAAAUUCUCAUUUUCUCUCUCUCUCCCUCUCUCUCUCUCCUCUCUCUUUCCUUUCAUUUCUCACUUUGCUUCUUUUUCUCAGUCCUCUCCUCUCUUCCUCCCUUCUCUCCAAUCCUUUCCCUCUUCCUCUUUCUCCCUUUCUUGCCUUUCUCUUCUGCUUUCCCUGUCCUUCUCCUUUCCCUUAGAAUUUCCUUAAAGUUAUGCAGUGAUGAGCCGCCCCGUCCCCUCUUCCAUGAGCCCUCUGUGAGGUUGCCAGCAUCAGGCUUCAGCUAACCUAAAUAUUGUUUCCCAAAUCCUCACGGAAUUAGCAGUAGACAGCAAGGAAAGGCAUUUCCCAGGACGUCUGCCUUUCAGGAGCUGUAGACCUAGCGGAACGGGGUCUCUCAAUUCCCCCGUAUAUUCUUACAAACAUUCUAUUGAUUGUUAGAAAUUAUUUUCAUUGUAUAUUAACAACGAAAGAAGAAUACUAAUUUCCCCAACUUCAACCGAAGCAAUUCAGGUCCUCUGACAUUGUGCAAGGCACAGGUAAGGGUCUGACCAUUUGGUGCUUUGAAGAUCUGUUUGUGAACUAGGGCAUAUAUGCGAUCCCCCCCACCCGCCCCUUCAUGGAACUCACAAGCUCCCCCUUACGGCAAAAUAGUUCUUCUCUUUUUCCCCUCCUAGUGUUUAAUAAGUCAAAAUGAGCUAGUGAGGGUGGUUUACAAAUUAUUAGUUACCAGUCUGUUCAAAAAAUGUAGUGAUAAAACAAUGCUAUGUGAAGUUUGCAAUGUGGACCGAGUCCUGGAAGUCAGAAGUGGGAUUAACACCACUAACUUGUGACUUUCUUCCCUCAGGUUGCUCCUGUCCACAGGGCUGCUGUACAUUCUUAGUUGGGAUCCUGGCUCCAGGCUUCAGGGAGAGAGAGAACCAGGGGCUAAUGACUGGGAAGCUGAGACAGAAACUUCUAGAUUCCAACACCAGUCCUUUGACUCAUGCCAAAGAGCCCCAUUUUGUUUAUCUCUGGCAAUCACAGCAGUAUUUCUUUUAUUAAUAAAUUCCAAACAACACCUUUUUUUGCCUGAAGAAAUAUGACAGCUCCAGAUGGUGUCCCAUCAAAUGCUGAGCGUGCUUCUUGGAUCUUCUUUAUGGAGACCAGGUCCUUGGUGGGACGAGCCACCUCUGGCUGCCAGCUUCUACAGAGGAGAAAGGAAGUUCAGGCUUUUGCCCCAGGCUCACAGCUGAGCCCUGAUGGAGAAAGUUGGGAUUUUGUUGAGGAUCAGCUGCUCACCCUUAGCCUGGACCCACAGAAACAUGAAUCUCUUGCUUGGAUACAUAUUUUGUUCAUGAUGUGAUGUCUCAUAGCUGUGCUUUCCAUGUCCCCAGAUGGCAGAGGAAAAUGAAACAUCUCACCUCAUUUGAUUAUUCUUCAGAUCUCCGUCAUGACACUAAUUAUACAGACUAAUUAGCAGGCUCCUGGGUCCAGAGAUUGUGAGCCACCUGAAGAGAGGGGGUAAAUAGUGGAAUUUGUUUGAUUUUUAUCAUUGGCUCAAUACUCAGUGCUUGGAAGUUCUGGGAAAGANNNNNNNNNNNNNNNNNNNNNNUCUAAAAACGGAUAUAUACAUUUGCUGGCUUUCUUGUAACACCAAGUGGUGCUUGGGCAGUUUCAAUUUCUUAAUUUAAGAAAUACUAUAAUGUCAGACAAUUGGGUUGCAGCCCUCACCCUCCAAAACUAUAGUCAAGAGGGAAAGAAAAUCUUAGAGAACAGCAAGUGUAGUAAAGCAUGAACUGUGCUUAAUGGAGGUGCUUACAAAGAUCUGUUGGGUCUCCAGGGACAGAUGGUUAAUGUAUGUGAGAUAUGAGGAGGGCAGAGGUUGGGUAAGGUUUCAAAGAGGAAAAACCAGCAGGAGUUGCAAUGGAACAGAAGGAGCCAUGGCAUUUUCAGCGAGAGGGAACAGCAUGUACAAAGGCUUCGUGGAAGUAGCCAGAAAGACAAUGUGAGAAGUGUAGUUUGACUGGUCAGAUCAUACUGUACCUGUUGAUCAAAAACCUUGGACUUUAUCCUGAGACCAGGGGGAGAUGACACAUGGAUUUAUUUAAGAGACUAACACUGUGGACAUUUUAUUUUUAAAGGACUUUUCUGGUUAUUGUUUAAAGAAGAGACUGCUGAACAUUGAAAGUAAAGAUACUGGAGUAGAGGCCACAUAUGAGAUGGUCAGGUUUGCACAAAGGAAAUGCUUAGGGAUGCAUAAAAAUGUCAGGAAGUAGAAUCAGUAUCGCUUGGUGAUGGCAGAGGAAUGAGAUAGAAAAGUAGCGAAGUGUUGGAAAUUAAGUAAUUCUGGAACUGGACAAUAACGAGCAGAUUUGCCUCUCUUGUUUCCUUGUGUUCCAAGCUGAAAUAUGCUUCAUCAGGAAACCAUGACCUGGACAAUAUCUGGGUGGCCAUCCCAAUCCCAUCAGUAGGAGUGAAUUAAUAUUCAGGGCCAGAUGGCUGUUAGCAUCCUGACUAUGCUAGAACAAGAAUCAAAUUCACUAGUCUUAACUCAAAAAGUCAAAUUUUGCAUGUUUUCUCUCAUAUGUGGACUCUAAAAAAACAUUUCAAAACAAAAGAAGAGAUCACAUGAAUGUAGAAGGGGUCUAUUAGAAAGAAGG
rnacentral:lncRNA from 1 species